rnacentral:rRNA from 1 species
GACGAACGCUGGCGGCGUGCUUAACACAUGCAAGUCGAACGGAAAGGCCCCCUUGUGGGGUACUCGAGUGGCGAACGGGUGAGUAACACGUGAGUAACCUACCCUUGACUUUGGGAUAACUUCAGGAAACUGGGGCUAAUACCGGAUAGGAGCUCCUGCUGCAUGGUGGGGGUUGGAAAGUUUCGGCGGUUGGGGAUGGACUCGCGGCUUAUCAGCUUGUUGGUGGGGUAGUGGCUCACCAAGGCUUUGACGGGUAGCCGGCCUGAGAGGGUGACCGGCCACAGUGGGACUGAGAUACGGCCCAGACUCCUACGGGAGGCAGCAGUGGGGAAUAUUGCACAAUGGGCGGAAGCCUGAUGCAGCAACGCCGCGUGCGGGAUGACGGCCUUCGGGUUGUAAACCGCUUUCGCCUGUGACGAAGCGUGAGUGACGGUAAUGGGUAAAGAAGCACCGGCUAACUACGUG